GUCUUGCGAAGCAUACGACUUUUUUUCGGCGGGAGUUGGCGAGUGUUGCUGUAACGUCUGCAAAGAGUUUUGUUUUAUUCUGAACGGUGAAAGUUGUUGCUGUUAAAAGGUGCCUUCCAAAUACAGAAUAACAGACACAGAGUGGAAUAAAGAUAUACUCAACACAAUGGCAUCAACAGGUGUAACCAAAAUGGCGGCCGUCAUUUUCGCCAUCAUGUGUCUAAUCCACUGCGCAUGCUCCCUUCCAGCUCAGAGCUUGCGGGAGAGAAGAGACGCACUAGAGAUGGAUUCAAGCCGAUCGAGACGAGCUGUGGGAGUCAAAAUGCCAUGGGCUCUUGACGCCCUAAAACAAGAACUAUACUCCAAAGUACAGACCGACAAACUCCGAAAAAUCCUGGAAAACGAGAGUAAAUUCGCCUUGGCCGGCCGGAAGUAAACAGGAAAAACCAGGAACAGUCAGCAUCCGGCCUAAUAUAAUAAAUGGUUUAUUUAUUUAUUUAUUUACGUGUAACAUUUUAUUUAUUUUAAGGCGAACUUCAAUAACGUUUGAACGAAAUAUGAAGUUUCCUUUCCAUCUUAGAAAGGGUUUGAAAAAAAAAAACCAUCAAACUUUAUUGAAGUUCCUCUUAAUGAUUCAGUUUUGCUGAAAGGGGAAAAGCGGGUACUUACACAGAUACAAUCGUGUCUGUCAGGUUCGGUUGCUAGUCAAGGGGACAUGCUGCAUUAUGUUGCUAACUUAUAAUCCCAUCCAUCUCGUUGUUAGCCGCACCUUGGUCCCGUUAUCAAUGUUGGCCCUAACUGCCGUGGUCUGCGCUCCAGUAUAAAUACUAUUGAGCGGGGGAUCGGGGAUAGGGACGGUUCAUUCCUUUUGGACGGUUUUAGCUGUGUUUAUACUGUUAGGCAAACCUGGCCGUAUCUUGAGAGAGUUGCGACAACUUGCAGUUUAAUACUUGAAUGCACUGGACACUAUGGGUUAGUUACUUACAACAUUUUGAGCACAAAACCUUACAUGGAAACGCGCAAUGUAGAUGAAUAUUAUGAGACAUUGUUGAGAUACACCAAGUGAGAAAACUGACAAUUACCAAAAGUGUCCAGAUCCUUUAAGCUGUAUUCAUGUAAUUAUGUGUUUGUAUAUUAAUGUUCAAUGAUUCGAAAGUGUUUCAAACAGGAAACACCUGUUUGAAGAUGCAUAUAGAUAAUAGAGAGAAUAUAGAGAAGCAACAUUGAUAAUAUCCAAACUUUUAUAAGUUUAUGCAAAGUUGGCUUCAAGUGCUAAUCGCCUAAAGAUUUUAUUCUACUUCUAGUGCCCUUGUGGUGUGGUCGAAAGGGUAAUGACGUUCAAACAAAAAUGUUAAGGUCAGACGAAAACCCGCCUGAAGGGAAGUUUUUAAUUAGCAUACCUAACGGGUACCAAUGAUAUGCCACCCACGUUAAAAUAUGGGUAACCCCACACUACCUAAAUGGUGAAGGCGAUUACACAUUGUACAACGGGUCGCGGUAAAUACACACUUUGAUAAUGGUUUCCCAUUCCUUAAACAAUUUGUAUGAAAUGGUAACAUAUUGCUCUGUUGAAUUGAGGGCUAGGGAGUGACGUUUUGGAGCUGCAAAUUAAACCGACGUAUUAAAUAAAACAUUUGAUCAAUGUUCAACCGGCAGUGAGGAUAUUUUUUUUAUUUUUUAUUGUUUAUUAGAAAAAAGAAAAACAAAUACGUUUGCACAACCCACUUACCGUAGUUGCUCGUACAAAAAUUACUUAAAUAUAUGUCCGCUAAUGUAUAACACAUGUGGUUUUCCUUUAUAUUUAUUAAUGCAAUAUAUUAAUUAUAUUUUUGUGUGUAUUUGAUGACGUCAUUUAACUUGAUUUAAACCGCCAUGGAGCUUCAAGUCAAUGAUUUUAAUAAAGCAACAUCAAUCGUGAUAACUAAA